rnacentral:rRNA from 1 species
UGCCAGCCGCCGCGGUAAUACAGAGGGUGCGAGCGUUGAUCGGAAUUAUUGGGCGUAAAGGGCGCGUAGGCGGUUUAGUGUGUCAUGUGUGAAAUACCUGGGCUCAACCUGGGGGUGUCAUGUGAAACUGCUAGACUAGAGUGCAGUAGAGGCAAGUAGAAUUUCCAGUGUAGCGGUGAAAUGCGUAGAUAUUGGAAGGAAUACCGAUGGCGAAGGCAGCUUGCUGGCCUGCAACUGACGCUGAGGCGCGAAAGCGUGGGUAGCAAACAGGAUUAGAUA